rnacentral:rRNA from 1 species
GUUAGGAAUAUUGGACAAUGGGCGAAAGCCUGAUCCAGCCAUGCCGCGUGAACGAUGAAGGCCUUCGGGUUGUAAAGUUCUUUAGCCGAUGAUUAUAAUGACUGUAGUCGGAAAAUAAGCCCCGGCUAACUUCGUGCCAGCAGCCGCGGUAAUACGAAGGGGGCGAGCGUUAUUCGGAAUCACUGGGCGUAAAGCGUGCGUAGGCGGUUUUGUAAGUUAGGAGUGAAAGCCCAGGGCUCAACCUUGGAAUUGCUCUUAAAACUGCAAGGCUCGAAGCUCGGAGAGGAUAGCGGAAUUUCCAGUGUAGCAGUGAAAUGCGUAGAUAUUGGAAGGAACACCAGUGGCGUAAGCGGCUAUCUGGACGAGUAUUGACGCUGAGGCACGAAAGCGUGGGGAUCAAACAGGAUUAGAAACCCCAGUAGUCC